rnacentral:rRNA from 1 species
ACAGAGGGGGCCGAAGCCGCGAGGCGGAGGAAAUCCUGAAAACUGGGCCCAGUUCGGACUGUAGGCUGCAACCCGCCUACACGAAGCCGGAAUCGCUAGUAAUGGCGCAUCAGCUACGGCGCCGUGAAUACGUUCCCGGGUCUUGUACACACCGCCCGUCACAUCAUGGAAGCCGGUCGCACCCGAAGUAUCUGAAGCCAACCGCAAGGAGGCAGGGUCCUAAGGUGAGACUGGUAACUGGGAUGAAGUCGU